UUCUAGGAAUGCUACCAGAGUGUCAAGACAAUUGGAUCUGAUACCCAGCAAAGAUUAUUGCCCUCUAUUUGUUGGCGAUAAGAGGGUCCAGCAGACGGAGUUUGACUACACGGAAUUAAACAAGGACACUAUUAAGGUCAUUGGAUCCUGAACCAUGCAGAACGAUUUUUAUCUUACAUGGAAAAUGAUAUCACAAAACGAUUGUUCAUUUUAAACUCUUAUUGGCUGCUCUGGACUUUAAAGUAUAUAUAGAAU